rnacentral:rRNA from 1 species
AGUGAACGCUGGCGGUAGGCCUAACACAUGCACGUCGAACGGCAGCACAGUAAGAGCUUGCUCUUACGGGUGGCGAGUGGCGGACGGGUGAGGAAUACAUCGGAAUCUACUUUUUCGUGGGGGAUAACGUAGGGAAACUUACGCUAAUACCGCAUACGACCUACGGGUGAAAGCAGGGGAUCUUCGGACCUUGCGCGAUUGAAUGAGCCGAUGUCGGAUUAGCUAGUUGGCGGGGUAAAGGCCCACCAAGGCGACGAUCCGUAGCUGGUCUGAGAGGAUGAUCAGCCACACUGGAACUGAGACACGGUCCAGACUCCUACGGGAGGCAGCAGUGGGGAAUAUUGGACAAUGGGCGUAAGCCUGAUCCAGCCAUACCGCGUGGGUGAAGAAGGCCUUCGGGUUGUAAAGCCCUUUUGUUGGGAAAGAAAAGCAGCAGGUUAAUACCCCGCUGUUCUGACGGUACCCAAAGAAUAAGCACCGGCUAACUUCGUG